rnacentral:rRNA from 1 species
CCUACGGGAGACAGCAGUGGGGAAUAUUGCACAAUGGGGGAAACCCUGAUGCAGCGACGCCGCGUGAGUGAAGAAGUACUUCGUUAUGUAAAGCUCUUUCAGCAGGGAAGCAAAUGACGGUACCUGAGUCAGAAGCCCCGGCUAACUACGUGCCAGCAGCCGCGGUAAUAGGUAGGGAGCGAGCGUUGUCCGGAAUUACUGGGUGUAAAGGGAGCGUAGGCGGGGAUGCAAGUUGGGUGUCAAAACUACCGGCUCAACUGGUAGUCGCACUCAAAACUGCAGCUCUUGAGUGAAGUAGAGGCAGGCGGAAUUCCUGGGGUAGCGGUGAAAUGCGUAGAUAUUAGGAGGAACACCAGUGGCGAAGGCGGCCUGCUGGGCUUUUACUGACGCUGAGGCUCGAAAGUGUGGGGAGCAAACAGGAUUAGAUACCCGAGUAGUC